UGCGGAAGGAUCAUUACAGAAAGUAAACGCGGAUCAAACCGCGAACUUCUAAACCUUUGACGAUUGACUCAUGUUGCCUCGGCGGGUCCUCCCGCCAGAGGAUACAUCAAAACUCCUGUUUUAACGGUGGUGUCUGAGCUACAAGCAACGAAUCAAAACUUUCAACAACGGAUCUCUUGGUUCUGGCAUCGAUGAAGAACGCAGCGAAAUGCGAUAAGUAGUGUGAAUUGCAGAAUUCAGUGAAUCAUCGAAUCUUUGAACGCACAUUGCGCCCCUUGGUAUCCCGAGGGGCAUGCCUGUUCGAGCGUCAUUUCACCACUCAAGCCUGGCUUGGUGUUGGGCGACGUCCCCCUUUAGGGACGCGCCUCGAAACGCUCGGCGGCGUGGCACCGGCUUUAAGCGUAGCAGAAUCUUUCGCUUUGAAAGUCGGGGCCCCGUCUGCCGGAAGACCUACUCACAAGGUUGACCUCGGAUCAGGUAGGGAUACCCGCUGAACGUAAGCAUAUCAAU
rnacentral:rRNA from 1 species